UCAGGUGGCCGCAGAGAAUAGGCCCAAGCGACUGUUUACCAAAAACAUAGGUUUCUGCUAAGUCGCAAGACGAUGUAUAGGAGCUGACGCCUGCCCGGUGCUGGAAGGUUAAGGGGAUCUGUUAGAGCAAUCGAAGCAGUGAACUUAAGCCCCAGUAAACGGCGGCCGUAACUAUAACGGUCCUAAGGUAGCGAAAUUCCUUGUCGGGUAAGUUCCGACCCGCACGAAAGGCGUAACGAUUUGGGCACUGUCUC
rnacentral:rRNA from 1 species